GGGUGGGGGGCAAGGGAAGGGUCUCCGGUGGGCAGGGAGAGGUACCAGGGUGCCGAACCAGUCCAGGACUGUUCCCUGCUGGCCCAGCCAGAAGCCCGGGGCCUGAGAAGCUCUGUCUCCCGUGGCGGGCAUUGGCCUCACCCUUUCUCUGCCUCCAGCACCCAGGACGGCCACAGAUGGCAGUGUCUCUGGGAACAGCAGCUGUGACUAAGUCCGAGGGCCAAUGCUGAGCCGCUGAGCUGCUCGGGCCGAGGUGGUGAGCUCAGUGCAGAGCCCCGGACCAGGCGUCUCUCUGCAGGGCGUGAGCCGGGGCCACCCACCGCGAUGCCGCACUUCCUGGACUGGUUCGUGCCGGUCUACCUGGUCAUCUCCGUCCUCAUCCUGGUGGGCUUCGGCGCCUGCAUCUACUACUUCGAGCCCGGCCUGCAGGAGGCACACAAGUGGCGUAUGCAGCGCCCGGUGGUGGACCGCGACCUCCGCAAGACGCUGAUGGUCCGCGACAACCUGGCCUUCGGAGGCCCAGAGGUCUGAGCUGAAGGCUCUGGGCUGGGGGUUGGGCCCCGGGCACCCUUCCCGGCCCCACCCAGCUUGGAGACCCUGGGGCAAAGGGAGGACGGCCUCCGGGCCGCCGGGCCCUCCGUCCCAGCAGAUGACCCUGGGUGCUUGGGGCGGACCCUGGCUGUGGAAAGAUGGGGCACCUGGGUGCUCGGAGGUGCUGCUGCCGCUGGCCCAGGGCUGGCUCCCCGCCUCGAGCUAGCUCACCCUGUGCCCGCCUUCCCUGGCUCUUGGGACACCCCCACUGGCCCCCAGUGCCUUUGUGCUGCCCAGCACUCCUGUCCCUCCCUCCACGUGGAGUCCCGAGCCUCCAGGGCUCCCACGUUCCCACUCAGUCUCCAGUCACACUCGGGUCCCUGCUCCACCCAGCGGCACCACCGACCCCACAGCUCCUGGUGGCUGCUUCCAAGCCGACCCAAGGAAAGGGCCCCAUCUGGAGGGGGGUCAGCUUGGUCCGGACCAGCCCCCAACCCUCUGGGCUCACACUUGGCAUUGGCGUGUGUGGAGGGCUGUUAGAGGGGCAAGGCCAUGGGGAAGGAGGUGUGUGUGUGUGUGUGUGUGUGAGUGUGAGAGAGAGAGAGAGAGAGAGAGAGGGAGAGAGUCUGGGGGAAGUGGGGAGACCCGUGGGGGAAGGAGAUGUGUGUGUGAGAGGGGGACUGGGGGCCCCAGGCAGGAGGCGUGGGGAUGGGGUGAGCUCCGUGGACAGUCUGGGGGUCACCCACGGCAGCUCCCGCCCCGUCCCUCUACCCUCGCUCCUGAGCCAGGUCCCCCAGCCCCCCACCCCCGCCCUGAACCCGUCUCCCGUGUGGGGCGCUGUUGCCUCGUGGUGGACACAGAUCAGCAACCUGCCUCGCUCCCUCCCUCUGGGGCUUCCACCUUAAUUUAUUGCAAUAAAAAGGCAUCGUGAGCA